GGACGGGUGAGUAACACGUAGGCAACCUGCCCGUAAGCUCGGGAUAACAUGGGGAAACUCAUGCUAAUACCGGAUAGGGUCUUCUCUCGCAUGAGAGGAGACGGAAAGGUGGCGCAAGCUACCACUUACGGAUGGGCCUGCGGCGCAUUAGCUAGUUGGUGGGGUAACGGCCUACCAAGGCGACGAUGCGUAGCCGACCUGAGAGGGUGACCGGCCACACUGGGACUGAGACACGGCCCAGACUCCUACGGGAGCGC
rnacentral:rRNA from 1 species